rnacentral:lncRNA from 10 species
GGAUAGUGGCAUAGGACGUGGUGGAAGAUGGUGGUGGAGGACGGUGGUGGAGGAUGCAGUGGAGGAUGGUGGUGGAGGACAUGGUGGAGGACGGUGGUAGAGGAUGGUGGCGUAGGACGUGGUGGAGGAUGGUGGCAUAGGAUGUGGUGGAGGACAGUGGUGGAGGAUGUGGUAUAGGAUGUGGUGGAGGAUGGUGGUGGAGGAUGAUGGUGGAGGAUGGUGGUGGAGGAUGAUGAUGGAGGACAGUGGUGGAGGAUGUAGUGGAGGAUGCGGUGGAGGACAAUGAUGGAGGAUUUACAUGGUGGAGGUGUACAUGGUGGAGGAUGCUGGUGGAGGAUGUGGUGGAGGAUGGUGGUGUUAGGACGUGGUGGAGGACGUGGUGGAGGACAUGGUGGAGGACAGUAGCAGAAGAUGUGGUGGAGGAUGGUGGUGUAGGAUGUGAUGGAGGGCGGUGGUGGAGGACGUGGAGGAGGACAGUGGUGUAGGACAUGGUGAAGGGCGGUGGUGGAGGAUGGUGGUGGAGGAUGUGAUAUAGGAUGUGGUGGAGGAUGGUGGUGGAGGACAUUGUAGAAGACAUGGUGGAGGACAGUGGUGGAGGAUGGUGGUGUUAGGACGUGGUGGAGGACGUGGUGGAAGACAUGGUGGAGGACAGUAGUGAAGGACGUGGUGGAGGAUGGUGGUGUUAGGACGUGGUAGAGGACGUGGUGGAAGACAUGGUGGAGGACAGUAGUGAAGGACAUGGUGGAGGACGGUGGUGUAGGACAUGAUGGAGGGCGGUGGUGGAGAACGUGGUGGAGGAUGUGGUGGAGGACAAUGGUGUAGGACGUGGUGGAGGGCGGUGGUGGAGGGCGGUGGUGGAGGAUGUGGUGGAGGACAUGGUGUAGGACGUGGUGGAGGGUGGUGGUGGAGGAUGUGGUGGAGGACGGUGAUGGAGGACAAGGUAGAGGAUGUGGUGGAGGACAUGGUGGAGGACAGUGGCAGAGGACAGUGGUGUAGUACGUGGUAGAGGACGUGGUGUAGGACAGUCGUGGAGGACAUGGUAGAGGACGUGGUGGAGGAUGGUGGUGGAAG